rnacentral:rRNA from 1 species
UCAUAAGCGGAGGAAAAGAAACCAACAGGGAUUGCCUUAGUAGCGGCGAGUGAAGCGGCAAAAGCUCAAAUUUGAAAUCUGGCGCCUUCGGUGUCCGAGUUGUAAUUUGAAGAUUGUAACCUUGGGGUUGGCUCUUGUCUAUGUUUCUUGGAACAGGACGUCACAGAGGGUGAGAAUCCCGUGCGAUGAGAUGCCCAAUUCUAUGUAAGGUGCUUUCGAAGAGUCGAGUUGUUUGGGAAUGCAGCUCUAAGUGGGUGGUAAAUUCCAUCUAAAGCUAAAUAUUGGCGAGAGACCGAUAGCGAACAAGUACAGUGAUGGAAAGAUGAAAAGAACUUUGAAAAGAGAGUGAAAAAGUACGUGAAAUUGUUGAAAGGGAAGGGUUUGAGAUCAGACUCGAUAUUUUGUGAGCCUUGCCUUCGUGGCGGGGUGACCCGCAGCUUAUCGGGCCAGCAUCGGUUUGGGCGGUAGGAUAAUGGCGUAGGAAUGUGACUUUACUUCGGUGAAGUGUUAUAGCCUGCGUUGAUGCUGCCUGCCUAGACCGAGGACUGCGAUUUUAUCAAGGAUGCUGGCA